rnacentral:rRNA from 1 species
GACAGAGGGGGCAAGCGUUGCUCGGAAUUACUGGGCGUAAAGGGCGCGUAGGCGGGAUGGCAAGUCGGUCGUGAAAUCCCUCGGCUCAACCGAGGAACGUCGAUCGAUACUGCUGUUCUUGAGGAUUGCAGAGGAGACUGGAAUUCCCGGUGUAGCGGUGAAAUGUGUAGAGAUCGGGAGGAACACCGGUGGCGAAGGCGGGUCUCUGGACGGUUACUGACGCUGAGGCACGAAAGCGUGGGGAGCGAACAGG